GUUAAGCUGUUGUUUUAGUGUUCUUUUGAUGAGUUUGGCUUUUUGUUAUGAACAUUGUUCGUUUUGGCCAGUUUGAAGGUUUUUUAGCAUGUGUAAUGGCAUGAAUGUGUUGAAUUGGUACUCCCUUGUGUUAAGCCGUAUUUUUAGGGUUCUUUUGAUGAGUUUGGCUUGUUGUUAUGAAAAGUGUUUGUUUUGGCGAGUUUGAACGUUUUUGAGCAUGUGUAAAGGCAUGAAUGCGUUAAGCUGUUGUUUUAGUGUUCUUUUGAUGAGUUUGGCUUGUUGUUAUGAACAUUUUUCGUUUUGGCGAGUUUGAACGUUUUUGAGCAUGUGUAAUGGCAUGAAUUAGUAAUCCCAUGUGUUAAAUUGUUGUUUUAGUGUUCUUUUGAUGAGUUUGGCUUGUUGUUAUGAACAUUGUUCGUUUUGGCCAGUUUGAAGGUUAUUGAGCAUGUGUAAUGGCAUGAAUGCGUUAAGCUGUUGUUUUAGUGUUCUUUUGAUGAGUUUGGCUUGUUGUCAUGAACAUUGUUCGUUUUGGCGAGUUUGAACGUAUUUGAGCAUGUGUAAUGGCAUGAAUGUGUUGAAUUAGUAAUCCCUUGUGUUAAGCUGUUGUUUUAGUGUUCUUUUGAUGAGUUUGGCUUGUUGUUAUGAACAUUGUUCGUUUUGGCCAGUUUGAAGGUUUUUUAGCAUGUGUAAUGGCAUGCAUGCGUUAAGCUGUUGUUUUAGUGUUCUUUUGAUUAGUUUGGCUUGUUGUUAUGAAAAGUGUUUGUUUUGGCGAGUUUGAACGUUUUUGAGCAUGUGUAAUGGCAUGAAUGCGUUAAGCUGUUGUUUUAGUGUUCUUUUGAUGAGUUUGGCUUGUUGUUAUGAACAUUGUUCGUUUUGGCCAGUUUGAAGGUUAUUGAGCAUGUGUAAUGGCAUAAAAGUGUUGAAUUAGUACUCCCUUGUGUUAAGCCGCUGUUUUAGGGUUCUUUUGAUGAGUUUGGCUUGUUGUUAUGAAAAGUGUUUGUUUUGGCGAGUUUGAACGUUUUUGAGCAUGUGUAAUGGCAUGAAUGCGUUAAGCUGUUGUUUUAGUGUGCUUUUGAUGAGUUUGGCUUGUUAUUAUGAACAUUGUUCGUUUUGGCCAGUUUGAAGGUUUUUUAGCAUGUGUAAUGGCAUGAAUGCGUUAAGCUGUUGUUUUAGUGUUCUUUUGAUUAGUUUGGCUAUUUGUUAUGAAAAGUGUUUGUUUUGGCGAGUUUGAACGUUUUUGAGCAUGUGUAAUGGCAUGAAUGCGUUAAGCUGAUGUUUUAGUGUUCUUUUGAUUAGUUUGGCUUGUUGUUAUGAAAAGUGUUUGUUUUGGCGAGUUUGAACGUUUUUGAGCAUGUGUAAUGGCAUGAAUGCGUUAAGCUGUUGUUUUAGUGUUCUUUUGAUGAGUUUGGCUUGUUGUUAUGAACAUUGUUCGUUUUGGCCAGUUUGAAGGUUAUUGAGCAUGUGUAAUGGCAUGAAAGUGUUGAAUUAGUAAUCCCUUGUGUUAAGCUGUUGUUUUAGUGUUCUUUUGAUGAGUUUGGCUUGUUGUUAUGAACAUUGUUCGUUUUGGCCAGUUUGAACGUUUUUUGAGCAUGUUUAAUGACAUGAAUGCGUCAAGCUGUUGUUUUAGUGUUCUUUUGAUGACUUUGGCUUGUUGUUAUGAACAUUAUUCGUUUGGGCGAGUUUGAAC